rnacentral:rRNA from 1 species
UUCCGGGCGGAUAAGCCUGCAAGUCGUAUGGGAUACCUAAAGUUCCCAUGGCGCACUGCUCAGUAACACAUGAUUAACUUACCCUAUGGAGAAAAAUAACCUCGGGAAACUGAGGAUAAUAUUUCAUAGUUGAGAAGGCUUGGAAAAGUUUUUCAAUCAAAUGGAUAAGAAAAAUGGUUCUUAUCUGCCAUAGGAUAGGAUCGUGGUCGAUUAUGGUUGUUGGCGAGGUAAUGGCUCACCAAGCCGAUAAUCGAUAGGGGCCGUGAGAGCGGGAGCCCCGAGAUGGGUACUGAGACAACGACCCAGGCCUUACGAGGCGCAGCAGGCGCGAAACCUCCGCAAUACACGCAAGUGUGACGGGGUCACCCAAAGUGUCCUUUAUAGGACUGUGAUAGGUGGGUAAUAUCCCCUAUCAGAAAGGAGAGGGCAAGGCUGGUGCCAGCCGCCGCGGUAAAACCAGCUCUUCAAGUGGUCGGGAUCAUUAUUGGGCUUAAAGUGUCCGUAGCCGGUUUAGUAAGUUCCUGGUAAAAUCGGAUAGCUUAACUAUUCGUAUGCUAGGAAUACUGCUAUACUAGAGGGCGGGAGAGGUCUGAGGUACUACUAGGGUAGGGGUGAAAUCUUAUAAUCCUUUUAGGACCACCAGUGGCGAAGGCGUCAGACUGGAACGCGCCUGACGGUGAGGGACGAAAGCUAGGGGAGCGAACCGGAUUAGAUACCCGGGUAGUCCUAGCCGUAAACGAUGCAUACUAGGUGAUGGCACGGCCAUGAGCCGCGUCAGUGCCGUAGGGAAACCGUUAAGUGUGCCGCCUGGGAAGUACGGUCGCAAGGCUGAAACUUAAAG